rnacentral:lncRNA from 1 species
UCUGCAUUUUUUCUCUUGCACUCCUAGAGGGAUCAAGACACAUAGAAUUAGAAAUGAGAUGAUAGGCCUGAAAAUGUAAGAACUAAAGAAAUAUACCCCCUUUCCUGUAUCUCUUCUCGAGAUAAAACAAUGUUUUUGCAAUAUUAUUUCCUGUAAAAUCUCAUAUUGAAAUAAUCUUGUAGACUUUAGUAUUGCAAGGUGUAAGAUGUUGAUUGUGAGUUGCAAAUCUUACACCAAGAGGUGGUAUCUCUCAGAAAAGUAUCCUUGUUUUUUCUC